AUUGAAUGCUGGCGGCAGGCCUAACACAUGCAAGUCGAGCGGAUGAAGGGAGCUUGCUCCUGGAUUCAGCGGCGGACGGGUGAGUAAUGCCUAGGAAUCUGCCUGGUAGUGGGGGAUACGUCCGGAAACGGGCGCUAAUACCGCAUACGUCCUGAGGGAGAAAGUGGGGGAUCUUCGGACCUCACGCUAUCAGAUGAGCCUAGGUCGGAUUAGCUAGUUGGUGGGGUAAAGGCCUACCAAGGCGACGAUCCGUAACUGGUCUGAGAGGAUGAUCAGUCACACUGGAACUGAGACACGGUCCAGACUCCUACGGGAGGCAGCAGUGGGGAAUAUUGGACAAUGGGCGAAAGCCUGAUCCAGCCAUGCCGCGUGUGUGAAGAAGGUCUUCGGAUUGUAAAGCACUUUAAGUUGGGAGGAAGGGCAGUAAGUUAAUACCUUGCUGUUUUGACGUUACCAACAGAAUAAGCACCGGCUAACUUCGUG
rnacentral:rRNA from 1 species